rnacentral:lncRNA from 1 species
GCACCCAUGGCAUAUGGAAGUUCCCAGGCUAGGGGUUGAAUUGGAGCUAUUGCUGCUGGCCUACACCGCAGCCACAGCAGUGUGGGAUUUGAGCUGUGUCUGCAACCUAUACCACAUCUCAUGGCAAUGCCGGAUCCCUAACCCGCUGAGUGAGGCCAGGGAUCAAACCUGCAUCCUCAUGGAUACUAGUCACAUUGGUUUCUGCUGCACCACUACAGGAACUCUGUAUUUUUUUGUAGACUUUUUGAUGAUGGCUGUUAAUUUGCAUUUCUCUGUAACAGUGAUAUUGAGCAUCUUUUCACGUGCCUGUUGGCCAUCUGAAUGUCUUCUUUAGACAAAUGUCUACUUAGGUCUUCUGUCCAUUUUUUGCUUGGGCUGUUUGGUUUUUUUUUUUUUUUGAUAUUAAGCUGUAUGAGCUGUUUGUAUAUUUGGGAAAUUAAUCCCUUGUCAGUAGAUGCUUAAAUUGCAUUGCCCACUCCUAAUCUUCUCCAUUGACGUGUGGAUUAUGACAUGAUGGAGUAUCCAAAAGGAACAUGAAAUACAGUUUGGAUUGAUAGUUAGUAUGUGCUCAUUGCAUCCGCCUGCAGGACUUUCCUGGUGAAUGAGGGUGCAGUAGGGGUCUUAGACCUAGAAACCUCAGCAGGGAUCCCCCUUUAUAGACUCCCAGAUGUUAAUGACGGAGGGCGACCAGAACCCUACUCUCCCAGGUUGAGUUUCCCAGGAAGCAGCCUCUGAGUCAGAAUUUAAUGUGCAGAGUGUUUACUACUGAGCUCCCAUGGAUCCUCCUGUGGAAGGGAAAGUGAGGAAGCAGGUGUGGAGAGAGGGAGAAGUUGAGCAUUGACGCAGGUGCAUGAACAGUCUAGGCUGACGUCUUCGGAGUUCUAGAACUAGAAUGAACCUCCAGAGUUUUCCCAAGGUGGGCUGAGAUGGCCAGGCUUUCAUACUACUCUGUUCAUAAGGUAUUUGAUGUUGGCCAUCCUGGGAAGAUGCGUGACCUUGGGGAGGGGGUGGUAGCCUGUUCUGAUGAAGGCCGUCCCCAGAGGGGCUGGCAGGGACCCCAGAAGCUGCUGUAGCAAGUGCUCCCGUGAGGGAGCAUCUGGACCGUGCAUCGCAGCGUCGCCACGGCUGCUGAAAACUCUGCGCAGGCGUCCACGUGGGCAAAGCGGCUGCUCUGCCUCGUGGAGGCUGUGCUGGGUCACAGGCCGAGACAUCCCAUUGCCUGUGUGCAGGGAGAGGCAGGGAGGGCGGACCCGGCUCUGUCUUGACAUCACACCACAGCCAUGACCACCCAUGAGCUGUGGCCCAGCCAUGCCCCAGGGCCUGGACGGUGUGAAGAGCCGCACCCUUGGGACGAGCUUGCGGGGAGGGAGCAUGGACCACAAGGGGUCAGCCUCGAGCGCCUUCUCCUAGGGACCCAGGCACGCGGUGGGUGGGUAGUGCGAGACACCUCCCACCCUAAAAGCCUGUCUGCCCUCCUCAGUUUUGUGGGGUUUCCGUUUGCAUAGCAUAGUUAAAACUGAAAGGCAGUUAUUCUGAAACUUAAAAUGAGUUUUAUACAAAAGUCAUUGAUAGGCUUUCCUGAAUGUGGCAUCCAGAGAAUGCCCGUGGCUUAAUGGGUGGCAUCCAAUUUUAGUGAAUUUACAUGGGCUUUACAAAGGAAUUCCUGGCCGGGGCUUACUUACUAUGGGAUUUGUUGUUGUUAUUUUCCUUUAUUUGUUUUAUUUUUUUAAAACUUUAUGGCUUUUAGUUCGUGAAUCCCUCACCGCUGGUGCUGAAAAGUAUAUGACAUCUCAGUUUUAGAAAAUAGAGGCCACAGCCUUCUUUUUGGAGUUAGCAGUUGUCCUUCGUGGCAGGGAUUAUUAGAUUUCCAUUUAAGUAGACUCUACAAUAAUGGACAAAAUAUUGAAGGAGUUUUAAAGGUGUCUGUGUGCAUCCAGCCAAAUACAGCCUUCAAAUACUGCCUGCCCCCUGGGAUGUGCGCCUUACUGCCUUCAGGCAGAAUUGGGCCUAUUGCAUGUCCUUAAGAGUUAUUGUGAACAAAAGCAGAAGCCUUAUUAUUUUUUUUUGAGUGUGUUAUAGUUCUGAUAUUUGUCCGCCCUGGUGUAAGUAGUUAAGAGUUACUUUGAUUCUCAGCAACUGCUGAUAAUGUAAUGAACUCCACGCAUGCAUGGAUAUAGAAUGUAUCGUCUUUCUAUAUAUUAUAUAAAUACAGUAGCUCUAAUGCCUACACAUAACCAUUUUUCUCAUUGUUUAAGAGCGAAGACCUGGUCAGGUUGUCCUUUUCUGUCACGAUUCCGAUGUGGAAUCGUGAACGGGUUGGAGAACAAACGAGCUUGUCAUUAGCAGAUGAGUUGCCGCUACAAAGCUCUGUGUUGAGGAUGCGUUCUUUUUUACUUCCCUAAAAAGCAUUUCUCUUGGAGAGCAAUUACAUCUGAUUGACAUGUUUUCAUGUGCCUGCAGCCCAGAUGCAUUUUUUUUUCCUUUGGAACACUAAACAGGACUAGAUCAAGGACUGUUAUUUCAUAUUUCUGCUCUUGUUGUUGUUUUCUGCUAUUAACUAAAAUCAGGAUACCAGAGAAAAACUUAGACACCUUGUAAAGUACAACUUAAAACAAAUUAUAAAAUAUGUAUAAAGAGACGUGCGUUUCGUCGUGGGGGUCACUAGACUAUAGCUGAGAUGGAAUUGCUAAAAGUCAAUUGAAAGGCAAGAGUGUGCAGCAUUGGGCAUGUUAAUAUUAGCAGCAGCUCGUGAAUAUAUUUUCUGUGUACACGUGGGUAAUACCGUAUUUCUCCUAAAGAUAUCUCGGUGUGGUGUUGGUAGGAAAAGCGCAGGGGCCGACACUUGUGAUUUGUGGCUUUGUCAUGUGUGAUUUGGAACCAUGCGGUCACCGGUUAUGGCAUUUCUUAUUCAGUAUGUGAAAAAGGAGAGGAAGGAGGUGAUUUCUGUGCACACUUCAAGCGGUGACACUUUGCGACUGUGUGAAGUGCGUGAGUCGUUUCUGACACGACCUCCUGACGCGGAGUCACACAUGUGGAUGGUGCCUUGUGGGUACCUGCAAGUCCGCGACCCCUACACAGCUCCGGCCAACAAGAGGAGCGGAUACUCCAGUGAGGUCCAUCUUUUCUCCUCCUUCAGACUAGGCUCGUGGGGACAGGGACAGUGCCUUACGUACAUUCCUAGUGAUGACUCUUCAUCUUUCUACACGAUCAACUCGCAAAAACCAGUUUAUAAAUGAGUGAUUAAAUGACAUCUAUUAUGAAUGAUUAUCGCUCCCUACGAUGAGCCGAUUUCUGCUUGGAAUGAUUGUCUUUGAGGAUGAUUUAGUAUAUUCAGUCAAUAUCUUUGCAUAAAUAACUUGGGUAUUUUUGUGGCCCUGGGCGAUUCCAGUAUUCACUCUGAGCUAUCCUGUGCUGUAUCAGUUUUUCUUAAUCUUUCAAAGUCAAACAUUAGCAACGUGGCAGUGUUGGCAUUGGAUAAUCUCAAGUGCGGAGUGUACAUAUUCCAUGUCAUAUGAUAAUAUAUGGUACAUAUUCAAAUCAUGAGAAAACCAUCACUGCACCCCUCGCAGGUGCAAGUCAUUGUCCAGGGCACUAAAGCAACAUGUUUUGGGUCUUGUCACCUUCAGAGAACUCUCCAAACACAGAGGAGGAUCCAGGGAGAAUCAUAGACCCCUGAAGACACUCUGGGGAGCUCAUUGCCACAGCAGCGUGGCGUGUGUCUAAACUCUGCCUCUCACUUCCCAUCCUGACAAAAUUAACCAUUUUCUUUGCUAGCCCAGACUGUGGACCUUAGACAUGGCGACUUAGGAGAAUCCUAUGAUAGGAAUCUUUUGUGAUUUGAUACCAAUAAGAAGUGAUUUUGAAGUUGCUUUAAGAGGACAUGACCCAUCUACUUGGGUUUUGGGUGUAGUUACUGUGCAGAACUCCAGAUGUCAACACGAAUUUGUGUUGUGUUUCUAUGCUAAUAUGUCUCUGCAGGGUUAAUUUGAGAAUACUGAUUCUUUUCUCUGUUGCUCAAAUUAACUGUAGGAGUGAUUAGCAGGUAUCUGGAUUGAUUAAUGUUUCAGUGUUUUUGUCACUUUUUUAGGGGAAGCGGAAUGUAGCACUGAGUUCUGGGGAAUUGUGAUGAAUAGUUUUGACUUCUAAAUUACUUUUAAAAUUUCCUGUAGUUUGUUACUUUCCCACAGAAAGUUUAAGCCUUGCUAGUUAUGGGGUCUUUUAUAACAGGGUGGCUCCCCUCUUGGGGUGGCACAUGCUGAAUGCCUCCUGCAUGUACAAUUCACAAACCCCCAAAUUGCAGGGACUGAAACCUCUGAACUGCUGGAGAAGAUGGUUUUAUGGGGAGACACAUUCAUCUUUUUAAGAAGCCCAGUCCGGCGGGGGAAGUAAACACUGCCCAAUUUCUCUAAUAAUUAUAAGUGUGAACAUGCUAAGAACUGUCUCACAGGAGCUGAGCGCUGUGGGAGAGCAGAGUGUAAGCUCCGUGAAGGCAGAGAGGCUUUUAUCUCAUUUGCUGAGAUAGUGUUUACUGUCUGGCACAGAGCAGGUACUCAACAGAUGUGCUGAUUUUAUGCUUAAAUCUGCCUUGGGUUUUACAGUGGAGUAAUGUUUCAACUAAGCUUUAAAGAGUAAAUAAGAUUUUCUUUAUCAAGAAUAGAGAACAUUUCAAGAAGAUGCAACAGCAGGAACAAAAGAAUGCAAGUGUUCUGGUAGCUGCAUGUAAUCCAGGGUAGCUACAGUGCAGAGUGUUUGUUCAUGGCUGCACAUAGGGCUGAGAUGUUGAGCCAGUGAGCAUUAGAAAUAAAUAGCAAAACCCUGCUUGAGCUGCUUCUUGCCGUCUGGAUGGUUCUUCUAUCCUGAAGAGUCUUUAUAUGGAUGAGAUCCAUACGACUAGCUCCCAGUCAAGUAAGCUGGAUCCCCAACACAUUUUUCAUGUUUCACUAAUAACGUUCCCUCACUAACUGCUUACUCGUGCUAGUUAGUGGUUGUGUGUCGGUGGGUUAUGUGGCAUGUGGCUCACUGUGCAUGGUUCGCUCUGUCCGCAGAUUGUUAAAAAACUUGUUCACCAUAUUGUUACAAAAUUUGUUCAGUGUUAGAGAAGAUCCAGGGAGUUCCCACUGAGGCUUAGCGGUAACGAACCCAACUAGUAUCCAUGAGGAAGCAGGUUCCAUCCCUGGCCGCGCUCAGUGGGUGAAGCAUCUGGCUUGUCUUGAGCUGCGGUGCAGGCUGCAGACCUGGCUCAGAUCCCACGUUGCUGUGGCUGUGGUGUAGGCCAGUGGCUGCAGUUCCGAUUGGACCCCUAGCUUGGGAACCUUCAUGUGCCUGGG